rnacentral:rRNA from 1 species
UAGGGAAUAUUAGUAAUGGGCGAAAGCCUGAACUAGCAACGCCGCGUGUGCGAAGAAGGCCUUCGGGUUGUAAAGCACUUUUUGAGAGGAUGAGGAAGGACGGUACUCUCAGAAUAAGUCUCGGCUAACUACGUGCCAGCAGCCGCGGUAACACGUAGGAGGCGAACGUUAUCCGGAUUUACUGGGCGUAAAGCGCGUGUAGGUGGUUUGGUAAGUAGGGCGUGAAAGCUCCUGGCUCAACUGGGAGAGGCCGUUCUAAACUGCCGAACUAGAGGAUGGUAGAGGGAGGUGGAAUUCCGGGUGUAGCGGUGGAAUGCGCAGAUAUCCGGAGGAACACCAGUGGCGAAAGCGGCCUCCUGGACCAUUCCUGACACUCAGACGCGAAAGCUAGGGUAGCAAACGG